rnacentral:rRNA from 1 species
UUCUCUAGCCAUACCACCCUGAACAUGAUGGAUCUCUUUUGAUCUCAGAAGCUAAGCAGGGUCAAGAAAUUCUGUCUCCCUUUAUAGCAGCCGGAGAUG